AUUGAACGCUGGCGGCAGGCUUAAUACAUGCAAGUCGAGCGGUGUGAUGGUGCUUGCACUAUCACUUAGAGGCGGACGGGUGAGUAAUGCUUAGGAACAUGCCUAUUAGAGGGGGACAACAUCUCGAAAGGAAUGCUAAUACCUCAUACGUCCUACGGGAGAAAGCAGGGGAUUGCUUGUGAACUUCCGCGAAUAGAUGAGUCUAAGUCGGAUUAGCUAGUUGGUGGGGUAAAGGCCUACCAAGGCGACGAUUUGUAGCGGGUCUGAGAGGAUGAUCCGCCACACUGGAACUGAGACACGGCCCAGAAUCCUACGGGAGGCAGCAGUGGGAAAUAUUGGACAAUGGGGGAAACCCUGAUCCAGCCAUGGCGCGUGUGUGAAGAAGGCCUUAUGGUUGUAAAGCACUUUAAGCGAGGAGGAGGCUCUUUUGGUUAAUACCCAAGAUGAGUUGACGUUACUCGCAGAAUAAGCACCGGCUAACUCUGUGCCAGCAGCCGCCGUAA
rnacentral:rRNA from 1 species